rnacentral:rRNA from 1 species
UGCCAGCAGCCGCGGUAAUACGGGGGGUGCAAGCGUUAUUCGGAAUCAUUGGGCGUAAAGGGCACGCAGGCGGCCUGGUAAGUCAGAUGUGAAAGCCCGGGGCUUAACCCCGGAAGUGCAUUUGAAACUAUCAGGCUUGAGUAUGGGAGAGGGAAGUGGAAUUCCUGGUGUAGAGGUGAAAUUCGUAGAUAUCAGGAGGAACACCGGUGGCGAAGGCGACUUCCUGGACCAAUACUGACGCUGAGGUGCGAAGGCGUGGGGAGCAAACAGGAUUAGAUA